AACGCUUUCUCUCUCUAAAAGUUAUCCCUGUAAGAAAAAAGAAGAGAUAAGGUUUCUCCUGCAGAUUCAAAUCUAAGAGAAAAUGUUGCCUAAAGGACAACAAAGAGAGGAAUUCUAGAUGCAAAAUAUUAGUAAAAUUAGGUUGCCGUGAUGGUUGUACAACUUGGUCUCGGUAAAGACACUGUAAUUCACUGAAUUGUGCACUGAAAGCUUUGAGACUUCCACACCUACUUUUCUGCCGUUUUCUUGACUCUAACUAAUGGAAUUCCAGUCCUGAUCCUCGAAAACUCCAAGGCUGGAACUGCUGGAGAAAGAAAUCUCAGCCAGAUGGGGAGGAAACGCUUCCCCUCCCCAUGGCUGUGGAACAGCAGAUACUCUGCUGGGUCCUAAACUGCCUUGUCUGAAUAGUGCUGCUGACCGACGGACUAGCCAGAUACCUGGACUUCGGCAUUGUCACCAGGUCCCAGGAAAGUCACAUUUCACCUCUAAAAAGUCUAUAAUUCUGUGAGUUCUCCUGUUUAAAAUGUGUGGCUCUGGCCAUAUGUUUUAAGUUGACAUCUCUGUUUCUGAAACGCAUGGGCCGUGUGAGUUUUCUUUGUUAAGCCAGAAAAGAAUUGUGGGCACUCUCUUCUCGCAUCUCACGGGAGGAAGAAAAAACAAAAUAAACCUGUGACUCUAGAUCAAAGGAAACUAAUGUACUAAUGCCCUCCCCAUUUUACAGAUGAGGAAACUGAGGCUCGGGUGGGUUAAGUCACUUUGCCAGGUCGCACAGCUUGGGGAGUGGCUUUGACCCAGGAUUUGAACCCAGUCUGCUUGACCCUGGCCUUCGAUACUAACCACCAGGCUAUGCACAGCAUCACUUAAUUGUCAAAAAAACCCUCCUAAGAUGUGGAUACAGAGAGAUGAAGUGACUUGCCCAAGGUCACACAGCCAGUUAGUGGCAGGGCGGGCAUCUAAAUCCUUUCCAUAGGGCAACCUAAGCCUGUGAAUCAUCCACCUGUCCCGGGGCCAAGACUCCUCCCCAACCCACCUGGCUGACCCCGCCCUGGGCUCACCUGCGCUCUUGCCCGAAGAGGCGCUCCACCUCCGCGCGGCCAGGGCUGCGGGUGCGGCCCCCACUGCUGCACUGGGGCCCUGGAUCACUCUGCGCCAGCCUCCUGGGCGGGGGCAGGUCAGCCAGCAUGGUGUACUCCUCCCUCUCCAAGUUGUGCCUGGUCUCCCCAGGGGGCAUGGAGCUCCGGGAGCCCCCCGAGCUGCCUGGUGGAGGUGAGGGUGCCAGAAGUGCUAGGUCACUGGGUGGGUGGCGAGGUGGGGACGAGGCUCGAGGUGCAUCUCGAUGCCCAAUGCACACUUGUGGGGGCAGCACUGGGGAGCCACGCAGAGAGUCGGUGGAGGGGGCCAGGCUCUCCAUACUAGUCCCGGGGGGGUCCUGGAAGAAGAGGGAGGGCUCGGGGGCCUGGCGUGGUGGGGACGAGAAGGAAGGUGCAUCCCGGUGCCCAAUGCACACAGGGGUGGGGAUGUGGGGGGGUUCAUGCAGAGAGUCUGUGGAGGGGACAAGGCUCUCGGUGCUAGCCCUGGGGAGAUCCUGGAACAAGAGGGAGGGCUCUGGGGCCUGGCGUGGUGGGGAGGAGGCCCGGGGUGCAUCGCGGUACCCAAUACACACAGGUCGGGGGAACUGAGGAGGGUCAUGCUGGGGGGACUGGAUCUCAGCAUCUGAAGUGUCUGGGAGGAAGGGGAAGGGGUCGAACUGGGUGUGGCGGGGGGGUGAGGAAGCCCAGGGGGCGUCCCGGUGUCCAAUGCAUACGGCUGGGGGUAUGUUGGGGGAGUCGUAGUGGGGCGACUCACUCUCAGAUGCGUGGGGGUCUGGGAAGAAGGCGAAGGGGUCAUGUUGCAAAUAGCGAGGAGGUGAAGAGGCUCGAGGGGCAUCCCGGUGCCCAAUGCACACAGCCCAUGGAGAGGUCUGGGGUGCGCCAUGGGUAGCUGGGUGCAGAGGCAUGGAAGUCCGGGGGGCACUGUGGUGGCCUGGGCCAUGGGAGGAAGAAGUGGCCCGAGAUGAUGAGCUGUGCUGGGUGGGACCAGAGGAAGACUGGAGUGGGUCACGCUGGGCUGGUCUAGCGGGAGAUGAGGCCUGAGGCCUGUCACCUUGGGUUGGCCGGAGGGCAAUGGAUGCCCAGGGAACCUCACUUUGCUUGGAGCGAGAUGGGGAAGAGGUUCGGGGGCCAUCACUCGGGGUGGGCCGGAGGGGAAAGGAGGCCCAGGGAAUGUCUUUGUUAGUGCGAUGGGGAGAAGAAUUCCUAGGAUUGUUCUGUUGAGUGGAACGACGGGGAGAUGAUGGUCCGGGAUUGUCCUGUUGGGUGCAGCACUGAGGGGAGGAAGAUCCAGGGUUGCCCUGCCGAAAGGAAGAGGAUCGCGGGUUGUCCCGUUGGAUAAAAGAGGUUCUGAGGUUAUCCCAUUGGGUACAAGAGGUUUUAGGGUUAGCCCGUUGGGUAGAAGAGGUUCUAGGGGAGUUCUGUUGAAUACAAGAAGUUCUGGGGUUGUCCCGUUGGGUGGCUCGGUUGGGAGAGGAGCCUCUGGGGUUGUCCCGUUGGGCACAGGGUGUUCUGGAGCUUUCCCACUGCGUGGGUCGGUUGGGAGAGGAGGCUCUGGGGUUGUCCCGUUGGGCACAGGAUGUUCUGGAGCUUUCUCGUUGGGUGGCUCGGUUGGGAGAGGAGGCUCUUGGGUUGUCCCUUUGGGCACAGGGUGUUCUGGAGCUUUCCCCUGCAAUGGGUCGGUUGGGAGAGGAGGCUCUGGGGUUGUCCCGUUGGGCACAGGGUGUUCUGGAGCUUUCCCACUGAGUGGGUCGGUUGGGAGAGGAGGCUCUGGGGUUGUCCCGUUGGGCACAAGAUGUUCUGGAGCUUUCUCGUUGAGUGGAUCGGUUGGGAGAGGAGGCUCUUGGGUUGUCCCGUUGGGCACAGGGUGUUCUGGAGCUUUCCCACUGAGUGGGUCGGUUGGGAGAGGAGGCUCUGGGGUUGUCCCGUUGGGCACAGGGUGUUCUGAAGCUUUCCCACUGACUGGGUCGGUUGGAAGAGGAGGCUCUUGGGUUGUCCCGUUGGGCACAGGGUGUUCUGGAGCUUUCCCUCUGAGUGGGUCGGUUGGGAGAGGAGGCUCUUGGGUUGUCCCGUUGGGCACAGGGUGUUCUGGAGCUUUCUCGUUGGGUGGCUCGGUUGGGAGAGGAGGCUCUUGGGUUGUCCCGUUGGGCACAGGGUGUUCUGGAGCUUUCCCUCUGAGUGGGUCGGUUGGGAGAGGAGGCUCUGGGGUUGUCCGAUUGGGCACAGGAUGUUCUGGAGUUUUCUCGUUGGGGAGUACACGUAGGAAAAGAAGUUUGAGGGUUGUCCUGUUGGGUAGAAGAGGUUCUGGAGUUGUCUUCCUGGGUGGCUUUGGUGGGAGAGGAAACUUGAGGAUUGUUUAGUUGGGUGGACGAGGUUCUAAGGUUGUCCCGUUGGGUGGUUCUUGAGGGAGAGGAUGCUCUGGGGGUGUUCCGCUGUGUGGAAGAGGUCCUGGGGACGUCCUGUUGGGUGGAUGAGGUUCUGGGGUUGUCCCGUUGGGUGGUUCUCGCGGGAGAGGAGGCUGGGGGGGUAUUGAAUUGUGUGGAAGCAGCCUGGGCAACGUCCUUUUGGGCAGAACGAUGGAGAGAGGAAGCCUGCGAGGUGGCACUUCGAGGUCCACUCUGCGGUGUUCCAGAGGCAGCCGGGUUUAGUGCUGGCUGAUGCCGCUCCAAGGAGAAGUACCUGCUUUCUCCCCGGAGCUUCGCCCAGUGCUGCCCAGCGCUUCGGC
rnacentral:lncRNA from 1 species